UUGACCGGUCGGGAUAACUCACACUGUUGAGUCAGAAUCAGUGCACUUAUGGAGUGCUGUCCGGUAGGCUGCCGAGGCUUAUUGUGAACGAAAGAGGAGUCGAGGUCGAUCCUGCUAAAAAAAAAAGAAAAAAAAAACAAUACAAGAAACGCCUGAGCCGAAAAAAAGAGAAAUCAAAUGGUCAGGUGGAAUGGUGACUGCCAAGGGGCAUGGAAAGAAAAAAUGAGUAGCAGGAACCUCUGAUUCUGAUGCUUUCCUUGGAGGAAACAACUGUUAAUCUGGUACUUGACAGCCUUU
rnacentral:lncRNA from 1 species